UACGGAGGGUGCAAGCGUUAUCCGGAUUCACUGGGUUUAAAGGGUGCGUAGGUGGGCAGGUAAGUCAGUGGUGAAAUCUCCGGGCUUAACCCGGAAACUGCCGUUGAUACUAUUUAUCUUGAAUAUUGUGGAGGUAAGCGGAAUAUGUCAUGUAGCGGUGAAAUGCUUAGAUAUGACAUAGAACACCAAUUGCGAAGGCAGCUUACUACACAACGAUUGACGCUGAGGCACGAAAGCGUGGGGAUCAAACAGG
rnacentral:rRNA from 1 species